rnacentral:rRNA from 1 species
UACGGGGGGGGCAAGCGUUGUUCGGAAUUACUGGGCGUAAAGGGCUCGUAGGCGGCCAACUAAGUCAGACGUGAAAUCCCUCGGCUUAACCGGGGAACUGCGUCUGAUACUGGAUGGCUUGAGUUCGGGAGAGGGAUGCGGAAUUCCAGGUGUAGCGGUGAAAUGCGUAGAUAUCUGGAGGAACACCGGUGGCGAAGGCGGGUCUCUGGGCCGAUACUGACGCUGAGGAGCGAAAGCGUGGGGAGCAAACAGG